GCGCCUAACACAUGCAAGUCGAACGAGAAAGGGGAGCAAUCCCUGAGUACAGUGGCGUACGGGUGAGUAACACGUGGGUAAUCUGCCCUUUGGUGGGGAAUAACCCUGGGAAACCGGGGAUAAUACCGCAUAAGUCCGAGAGGGGAAAGCAGCAAUGCGCCGAAGGAGGAGCCCGCGGCCGAUUAGCUAGUUGGUAGGGUAAAAGCCUACCAAGGCAAAGAUCGGUAGCCGGCCUGAGAGGGCACACGGCCACACUGGCACUGAAACACGGGCCAG
rnacentral:rRNA from 1 species